UACGUAGGGGGCAAGCGUUAUCCGGAUUUACUGGGUGUAAAGGGAGCGUAGACGGCAUGGCAAGCCAGAUGUGAAAUACCGGGGCUCAACCCCGGGACUGCAUUUGGAACUGUUAAGCCGGAGUGUCGGAGAGGCAGGCGGAAUUCCUAGUGUAGCGGUGAAAUGCAUAGAUAUUAGGAGGAACACCAGUGGCGAAGGCGGCCUGCUGGACGAUAACUGACGUUGAGGCUCGAAAGCGUGGGGAGCAAACAGG
rnacentral:rRNA from 1 species